GAUCAACGCUGGCGGCGUGCAUAACACAUGCAAGUCGAACGAUGAAGAUUAAAAGAUUUCUUCGGAAUGAACUUAAUUGGAUUAGUGGCGGACGGGUGAGUAACGCGUGAGUAACCUGCCUUGUACAAGGGGAUAGCCGUUGGAUACGACGAAUAAUACCCUAUGACAUCAAUUAAUCGCAUGAUAAUUUGAUCAAAGAUUUAUCGGUAUAAGAUGUACUCGCGUCUGAUUAGUUAGUUGGUAGAGUAAAAGCCUACCAAGGCAACGAUCAGUAGCUGGAUAGAGGGAGUGUACGGGAACAUUGAGGCUGAGACACGGCCCAUACGUCUACGUGGGGGAGCAGUGGGGACUGCUGCACAAUGGGGGACUAACGGAUGCCGCGACGCCGCGUAAUUGGGAAGGUCUUCGCGUUAGAAUGAUCUAUUGUAUGGGAGGAUAAUGACAGUACCAUACGACUAAGGACCGGCUAAUUACGUG
rnacentral:rRNA from 1 species